CAAGAUUUUAAAUUACGACAGGUUAUUUUCAAGCUAAUGCAAGGUUUUGUAAUGACUGGACUGGUCCCUUGUGUUACCAGAUAUAACCUCUGCAGCUAUUACCUCCAUAUGCAGGAUAAAGGCUAGCAGAAAUACCUGGGUCCAUUAGCCCAAGCUUUGUUUGACUACAGCAGCCCUAAGCUAGAAUGUCAAGAGCUUGGAAUGUCAAGAGCUGAUCUGCAGCAGUGUUACACAUUGAGAACUGUACUUCCAAGUACUCAAAAUCGAUAGAUGCUUUGACCUUUUACUUCACAUGCCUCAUUCCUGCCUCUGAAAGAAAAGCAUUAAAGGAUUGUUAUAGAAAUGAACUAAUUAAUAUCUAUGAAGCACUUAGUACCGCGGCACGUCCCACAGCAAUGAAUAAUUCUGUCCUCUGACAAGAUUUGACAAGUAGUGAGUAAAUAAUACAUUAGGCCGCACAGCAAUAAGAACAGUAAAGAAGGAGGAAAACUGAAUACUAAGAUAGUAGUCAAAUGGAAAAUAUACAGUAGAGUUAUAUAAUUGGACAGUACAUCAUA